rnacentral:rRNA from 1 species
UCCAGACUCCUACGGGAGGCAGCAGUGGGGGAUAUUGCACAAUGGGGGAAACCCUGAUGCAGCGACGCCGCGUGAGCGAUGAAGUAUUUCGGUAUGUAAAGCUCUAUCAGCAGGGAAGAAAAUGACGGUACCUGACUAAGAAGCCCCGGCUAACUACGUGCCAGCAGCCGCGGUAAUACGUAGGGGGCAAGCGUUAUCCGGAUUUACUGGGUGUAAAGGGAGCGCAGACGGCUGUGCAAGUCUGGAGUGAAAGGCGGGGGCCCAACCCCCGGACUGCUCUGGAAACUGUAAAGCUGGAGUGCAGGAGAGGUAAGCGGAAUUCCUAGUGUAGCGGUGAAAUGCGUAGAUAUUAGGAGGAACACCAGUGGCGAAGGCGGCUUACUGGACUGCAACUGACGUUGAGGCUCGAAAGCGUGGGGAGCAAACAGGAUUAGAUACCCCCGUACA